GGAGGUCACUGCUAUUGGGAUUCGACUAAGCCAUGCGAGUCGAGAGGGUUCGGCCCUCGGCUGACGGCUCAGUAACACGUGGAUAAUCUGUCCUUAGGCGGAGGAUAAUCUCGGGAAACUGAGAAUAAUACUCCAUAGAUCUAGGAUGCUGGAAUGCACUUAGAUUGAAAGCUCCGGCGCCUAAGGAUGAGUCUGCGGACUAUCAGGUUGUGGUCAGGAUAAUGACCUGACUAGCCUACGACGGAUACGGGUUGUGAGAGCAAUAACCCGGAGACGAUAUCUGAGACACGAUAUCGGGCCCUACGGGGCGCAGCAGGCGCGAAAACUUCACACUGUGCGAAAGCACGAUGAGGGAAUCCCGAGUGCCAACUCGUAAGAGUUGGCUGUUUCUCUGUCUAAAAAAUAGAGAGAGUAAGAGCUGGGUAAGACGGGUGCCAGCCGCCGCGGUAAUACCUGCAGCUCAAGUGGUGGCCACUAUUAUUGGGCCUAAAACGUCCGUAGCCGGUUUAAUAAAUGCCGGGGUAAAUCGUGUAGCUUAACUAUACGAAUUCCGGGUAGACUGUUAGACUUGAGACCGGGAGAAGCUAGAGGUACUCCUAGGGUAGAGGUGAAAUUCUGUAAUCCUAGGGGGACCACCAGUGGCGAAGGCGUCUAGCUAGAACGGGUCUGACGGUGAGGGACGAAGCCCUGGGGCGCAAACCGGAUUAGAUACCCGGGUAGUCCANGGUGUAAACGCUGCUCGCUUGAUGUUAGUUGGGCUCCGAG
rnacentral:rRNA from 1 species